rnacentral:rRNA from 1 species
AGAGUUUGAUUCUGGCUCAGGAUGAACGCUAGCUACAGGCUUAACACAUGCAAGUCGCGGGGCAGCAUGAAGUUUGCUUGCAAACUUUGAUGGCGACCGGCGCACGGGUGAGUAACGCGUAUCCAACCUUCCCCUUAGUAGGGCAUAGCCCGGCGAAAGUCGGAUUAAUACCCUAUGUUCUUCGUAGAUGACAUCUGAAAUGAAGCAAAGGUUUACCGCUAAGGGAUGGGGAUGCGUCUGAUUAGGUAGUCGGCGGGGUAACGGCCCACCGAGCCUGCGAUCAGUAGGGGUUCUGAGAGGAAGGUCCCCCACACUGGUACUGAGACACGGACCAGACUCCUACGGGAGGCAGCAGUGAGGAAUAUUGGUCAAUGGGCGUAAGCCUGAACCAGCCAAGUAGCGUGCAGGAAGACUGCCCUAUGGGUUGUAAACUGCUUUUAUGCGGGGAUAAAGUGAGGGACGUGUCCCUUUUUGCAGGUACCGCAUGAAUAAGGACCGGCUAAUUCCGUGCCAGCCGCUGC